GACGAACGCUGGCGGCGUGCCUAAUACAUGCAAGUAGAACGCUGAAGGAGGAGCUUGCUUCUCUGGAUGAGUUGCGAACGGGUGAGUAACGCGUAGGUAACCUGCCUGGUAGCGGGGGAUAACUAUUGGAAACGAUAGCUAAUACCGCAUAAGAGUAGAUGUUGCAUGACAUUUGCUUAAAAGGUGCAAUUGCAUCACUACCAGAUGGACCUGCGUUGUAUUAGCUAGUUGGUGAGGUAACGGCUCACCAAGGCAACGAUACAUAGCCGACCUGAGAGGGUGAUCGGCCACACUGGGACUGAGACACGGCCCAGACUCCUACGGGAGGCAGCAGUAGGGAAUCUUCGGCAAUGGACGGAAGUCUGACCGAGCAACGCCGCGUGAGUGAAGAAGGUUUUCGGAUCGUAAAGCUCUGUUGUAAGAGAAGAACGAGUGUGAGAGUGGAAAGUCAC
rnacentral:rRNA from 1 species